AUUCUUCUAGAGCCUUGCAUAGAGGAAUAGAAAGGGACUACUUCAUGAGCAGCUAGGCUAGCAGUCUCGGGAGUGGAGAAAAAAUUUUGUAACGACACAGAGAUGGUUUAUUGUUCUAAACUUUUCUGUAUUUCUUUAUAUGCAAUAAAGAUUAUGCUUUUUAUUUAAAUUAUCAUGAGUUCUUUAUUUGCUCCCUUUCAUAUGCUUUUAUUUAUGCUUUCUUGUUAGAUUAAUAUUAGGAACAACUUUUACUUUCUGGAGACACACCGUGAUCUACGGAUACGGGGCGUGCCGAGGAAAGAAGAGUUGUUUUCUUAGUGCUUUCUGGAGACGCACUGUGAUCUAUGGGUACGGAGCGUGCCGAGGAAAGAUAGGUAUUUUUCCUAAGAUUAAUCGCAUAUAUUUAAUUAAAAAAGAGAUACAACUCUGCUAGUGUGAAAUUAAUUCAAAACUCCCGAGCUCUUUAUUUUCUAACUACAUCAAUUUUAAGAUAAUUUAUUUUCUAAAUCAAAAAUAAUAUUUCUUUCUUUUAUUUUAUAAUCUCAACUUAGCCCA
rnacentral:lncRNA from 1 species